UGGCGACCGGCGCACGGGUGAGUAACGCGUACUCCAACCUUCCCGUAUAGUAGAGGAUAGCCCGGCGAAAGUCGGAUUAAUACUCUAUGUUUUCCAAUGAGGACAGUCUGAGCUGGAAUAAGGUUUACCGCUAUAGGGAUGGGGAUGCGUCUGAUUAGAUGGUAGGCGGGGUAACGGCCCACCUAGUCGACGAUCAGUAGGGGUUCUGAGAGGAAGGUCCCCCACAUUGGAACUGGAGACACGGUCCAAACUCCUACGGGAGGCAGCAGUGAGGAAUAUUGGUCAAUGGGCGAGAGCCUGAACCAGCCAAGUAGCGUGCAAGGGAUGACGGCCCUAUGGGUUGUAAACUGCUUUAUAUAGGGAUAAAGUGCACCACGUGUGGUGUUUUGUAGGUACUAUAUGAAUAAGGACCGGCUAAUUCCGUGCCAGCCGCUGC
rnacentral:rRNA from 1 species